rnacentral:rRNA from 1 species
UAGGGAGUCUUCCACAAUGGGCGCAAGCCUGAUGGAGCAACACCGCGUGAGUGAAGAAGGGUUUCGGCUCGUAAAGCUCUGUUGUUAAAGAAGAACACGUAUGAGAGUAACUGUUCAUACGUUGACGGUAUUUAACCAGAAAGUCACGGCUAACUACGUGUCAG